rnacentral:lncRNA from 1 species
ACCAGUUAAAACAAAAUUACCCACAUUGAUGAACAUGUUGACAUUGAAUCGUCGAAGGGCUCAGAUCAUCAAGUGUUUUGAAGAAGAAUCUAGUGAUUCUCUAGAAGAAAUUCUCAUUACUCAAAAAAGGACCAGCAAACGACUAAUGGAGUCGAAUCUCAAACAAUCAUCACAGAAGAAAGGGAAAAUCAAAAGCAUGGAUUUAGGCCCCGAGGACAAGAUGAACUUUUAUGGUCCUGAGGAAAAGUCCUAAUUGGUUGCCUACAAAGGGAGGUCGAUUGCUUAUGGAUGCACUGUAAGUUUAAAAUCUAUGAAGAAUUCUCACUGUGAUGUUGUCUCUGUGUUUGAAACUCAAAAACUCUUAUCUCUAUUUGCUAUUGUUGGUGAUACCAUUUAUGAAAAUCUUGUGCGUAUGUUAUAUGCAACUUGUUUGUGGAUGACAAAGAUGAUUUGGAAUUUAUGGUUCUUGGGACUUGCAUCAUUCUUGAUUCUUAUCAGUUUGAAAAUAUCUUUUCAACUAAGUUUCUUGGGUAUCAGUUUGAAAAUAUCUUUUCAAACUAAGUUUCUUGAUUCCUAAAGUUUUGAGCAUUUUGUGUUAGCCCACAUUAUUGUUACCACCAUCCUACCUUGCAUUGGGUCCCUUAGCACCUUGUCUAUCAUACACGUGUUUGUUUUGUACUGUCUUAUUAAUGGAAAAAACUAUUGAUUGGUUCACCUGGAUACGUCAAUUCACGCUUGAGAGUAUUAGGGAUGUCUCUUCCUCUGCGAACAGUUUGCCCUAUGGCCUACUAAUCUCUCAUAUUUUGCAAGUGAUGAAAGUAGAUUUAUCUCCCUUUUCCCCUAAGAUCUUCUCUAGCACUUAUGACAAAACAACAAUCGCUAUGAUGGGGUACACCUUAGUUGAAGGGACUUGGGUCAAGAAAGACAAACCCCCAGAAUCUACAACCCCAACAUAACAGGGUACUGGAGGAAUUAUGUCUGAAGUCAACCAAUCUUCAUCCUCAGAUCAGUUGUUGCUAAUGUAUCAAAAUAUUGUAAGUAUCAAGGAUUUGCUAACCACUAUGUAGGAAACAAGUAGGCAAAAUCAGGAAAGUAACAAAGAAAACUGGAAUAGAUGUGGCUAGAUUAAGAAUCAAUCUUCAGACCACAAAAAGACAAAGGAUCAGAGCUAUGCAGAAUGUCACUGAUCAUUUGAUUAAAGUCACCAAGGAGAUUGAUGCCUCUUAUGACAAUUUCUACACCAACGCGAUCAACAUUCUAAAGUAUUUCCUUGGAAGGAAUUGUUGUCUGGGAUGUUUCAACUAAGACUACUUGGUUGUAUAUAUAAGUACUACAUGAUGGUUAUUUUAUGUCAUUAUCUAUCAUUUUCUAUGUAUCUUCUCUUGUUAUUUUUUAUUGAUAUCAAAGGGGGAGAAAAAAGAGUAUAAAGACAGGGGGGCUAGAUAGGGGGAGGAUGAAGACGAGAGAGAACAACAUAUAAAAGGAUAUAAUGUGAAGGAAAGCAUUACAAAAUCCUUGAAACUCUUUUGUUUAUUGUCAAAAAAGUGGGAGAUUGUUAGGUUUCGAAUUUCAAUGAUGACUCAAAACAAAAGUUAAACACUCUCUACUAAUGUAUCUACCACGUGUGUAGGCUAACUAUUCAAAUCACAAGAAGGAAAGUGCACCAGGGUAGGAAAGAAACAAAAGAAGGUACAACCACAACUAUCACAUUCAAAUCCUUCUAUCAAGUGCGUA